GACGAACGCUGGCGGCGUGCUUAACACAUGCAAGUCGAGCGGUAAGGCCCUUCGGGGUACACGAGCGGCGAACGGGUGAGUAACACGUGGGUGACCUGCCUCUAGCUCUGGGAUAAGCCCGGGAAGCUGGGUCUAAUACCGGAUAUGACCUCGCGGUGCAUGUUGCGGGGUGGAAAGCCUUGUGUGGCUAGGGAUGGGCCCGCGGCCUAUCAGCUUGUUGGUGGGGUGANGGCCUACCAAGGCGACGACGGGUAGCCGGCCUGAGAGGGCGACCGGCCACACUGGGACUGAGACACGGCCCAGACUCCUACGGGAGGCAGCAGUGGGGAAUCUUGCGCAAUGGGCGAAAGCCUGACGCAGCGACGCCGCGUGAGGGAUGACGGCCU
rnacentral:rRNA from 1 species